rnacentral:rRNA from 1 species
AAUCAACGCUGGCGGCGUGCCUCAGACAUGCAAGUCGAACGAUUAAAGCUCUCUUCGGAGAGUGCAUAGAGUGGCGCACGGGUGAGUAACACGUAAGUAAUCUACCUUCGAGUGGGGAAUAACGUCCGGAAACGGACGCUAAUACCGCAUAAUGCAGCGGCAUCGUAAGAUGACAGUUGUUAAAGAUUUAUCGCUUGAAGAGGAGCUUGCGGCAGAUUAGCUAGUUGGUAAGGUAAUGGCUUACCAAGGCUACGAUCUGUAACCGGUCUUAGAGGACGGUCGGUCACACUGACACUGAAUAACGGGUCAGACUCCUACGGAGGCAGCAGUCGGGAAUUUUGGGCAAUGGGCGAAAGCCUGACCCAGCAACGCCGCGUGAAGGAUGAAGUAUUUCGGUAUGUAAACUUCGAAAGAAUAGGAAGAAUAAAUGACGGUACUAUUUAUAAGGUCCGGCUAACUACGUGCCAGCAGCCGCGGUAAU